ACUUAAAUAGCUCAAUAAAGAGUAUAAUAUUGAAGAUAUUAAGAUGAUUGAAAUCAAUCUUUAAGUA
rnacentral:tRNA from 1 species